rnacentral:rRNA from 1 species
UCCUACGGGAGGCAGCAGUGGGGAAUAUUGGACAAUGGGCGAAAGCCUGAUCCAGCCAUGCCGCGUGUGUGAAGAAGGUCUUCGGAUUGUAAAGCACUUUAAGUUGGGAGGAAGGGUUGUAGAUUAAUACUCUGCAAUUUUGACGUUACCGACAGAAUAAGCACCGGCUAACUCUGUGCC